AUUAGCUGACGUUGUUUACGCGCUAGCGGUCGGUGCAACAGGAGGAUAGGAAAGGUUUACCUUUAGAGAGACACCUGCUAUUCUUCAACCCUGAACCUCACCAUUUUCAGCCAUCAAGGAAAUCGUGCAGGCAGGAGCAAGAAACAACGCAGCACACGGAUUUGCUUUGCAUUUCUCAUCGCACGUGCCAGGAAACUGCUAAAUCUUGGACUUAAAUUAUUAUAACUGAAACUCGUUUUACACCAGUGGAUACCCUUUUAUGCUUUGAUCUUAUCCGUUGGAUUCGCCCAUCAUGGUGCAGAAAGAGGUGCAAGCCAUAGCUCCAAGAGCAUCACUUAUAAGUCUGCUGUGUUUUACCUUGACACUUCAGAAAUAUUGUUUAGCAGACUCAGUUGAGUGGAGUGACGUAAAUACAUACUUUGUGGACAGACAGCAAGGGGAUUCGACCA